UGGGGAAUAUUGCACAAUGGAGGAAACUCUGAUGCAGCGACGCCGCGUGAGCGAUGAAGUAUUUCGGUAUGUAAAGCUCUAUCAGCAGGGAAGAUAAUGACGGUACCUGAGUAAGAAGCUCCGGCUAAAUACGUGCCAGCAGCCGCGGUAAUACGUAUGGAGCAAGCGUUAUCCGGAUUUACUGGGUGUAAAGGGAGUGUAGGUGGCCAUGCAAGUCAGAAGUGAAAAUCCGGGGCUCAACCCCGGAACUGCUUUUGAAACUGUAAGGCUGGAGUGCAGGAGGGGUGAGUGGAAUUCCUAGUGUAGCGGUGAAAUGCGUAGAUAUUAGGAGGAACACCAGUGGCGAAGGCGGUCUC
rnacentral:rRNA from 1 species